UAUUAAAAUUUUCAUCCAUUUGUAUGGUAAAAAACUGGCAUAUGAUUGACAUAAUAAACAAAUAAGGACAUGUGGCAUGCCGCAUGCAUCUUAUGCUAACGUACAGGUACAUGGAUAAGUUUUUAAUAGUAGAAUUGGAUAAAAUUUUUAACA
rfam:Gossypium arboreum cultivar AKA8401 contig_2385_17, whole genome shotgun sequence.